AGAGCGAACGCUGGCGGCAGGCUUAACACAUGCAAGUCGAGCGGGCGUAGUAAUACGUCAGCGGCAGACGGGUGAGUAACGCGUGGGAACGUACCUUUUGGUUCGGAACAACACAGGGAAACUUGUGCUAAUACCGGAUAAGCCCUUACGGGGAAAGAUUUAUCGCCGAAAGAUCGGCCCGCGUCUGAUUAGCUAGUUGGUGAGGUAACGGCUCACCAAGGCGACGAUCAGUAGCUGGUCUGAGAGGAUGAUCAGCCACAUUGGGACUGAGACACGGCCCAAACUCCUACGGGAGGCAGCAGUGGGGAAUAUUGGACAAUGGGCGCAAGCCUGAUCCAGCCAUGCCGCGUGAGUGAUGAAGGCCCUAGGGUUGUAAAGCUCUUUUGUGCGGGAAGAUAAUGACGGUACCGCAAGAAUAAGCCCGGCUAACUUCGUGCCAGCAGCCGC
rnacentral:rRNA from 1 species